CAGUAGCCGCGGGAAUACGUAGGUGGCAAGCGUUGUCCGGAAUUAUUGGGCGUAAAGAGCUCGCAGGCGGUUUCUUAAGUCUGAUGUGAAAGCCCCCGGCUCCACCGGGGAGGGUCAUUGGAAACUGGGAAACUUGAGUGCAGAAGAGGAGAGUGGAAUUCCACGUGUAGCGGUGAAGUGCGUAGAGAUGUGGAGGGACACCAGUGGCGAAGGCGACUCUCUGGUCUGUAACUGACGCUGAGGAGCGAAAGCGUGGGGAGCGAACAGGAUUAGAUACCCCCGUAGUCCCUGUCUCUUAUAC
rnacentral:rRNA from 1 species